GGUUCGAUGGCGUAGUUGGUUAUCGCAUCUGUCUAACAUUUGGUGUCUCCAAGCAAAUAGCGCACAGAAGGUCCCCAGUUCGAGCCUACUAUAUUUGCACUA